UACGGAGGGUGCAAGCGUUAUCCGGAUUCACUGGGUUUAAAGGGUCCGUAGGCGGAUCUGUAAGUCAGUGGUGAAAUCUCAUAGCUUAACUAUGAAACUGCCAUUGAUACUGCAGGUCUUGAGUAAGGUAGAAGUGGCUGGAAUAAGUAGUGUAGCGGUGAAAUGCAUAGAUAUUACUUAGAACACCAAUUGCGAAGGCAGGUCACUAUGUCUUAACUGACGCUGAUGGACGAAAGCGUGGGGAGCGAACAGG
rnacentral:rRNA from 1 species